rnacentral:rRNA from 1 species
CCUACGGGAGGCAGCAGUAGGGAAUUUUCGGCAAUGGGCGGAACCCUGACCGAGCAACGCCGCGUGAACGAAGAAGUUAUUCGUAAUGUAAAAUUCUUUUAACAAGGAAGAAAGUGAAAUUAGGCGAUACCUUACGAAUAGUCUCCGACUAAAUACGAGCCAGCAGCCGCGUUAAUACGUAGGGGGCGAGCGUUAUCCGGAUUGCUGGGGCGUAAGGGGUGCGUAGAUGGCAUAGUAAGUCUUUGGUAAAAAUGCUGGGCUAAACCCAGGAGGGCAAAAGAUACUGCAAAGCUAGAGUAUGACAGAGGCAAGUGGAAUGACAUGUGUAGCGGUAAAAUGCGUAAAGAUAUGUAAGAACACCAGUGGCGAAGGCGGCUUGCUGGGUCGAUACUGACACUGAGGCACGAAAGCGUGGGGAGCAAACAGGAUUAGAUACCCCUGUAGUC